UUUCCAUAUAUUCGCCUCAUCAUGGCCUUAUCUAUGGUCAUUAACCCUGAGAAGGAAUUAAAAUUUAAUUUCAUUACAUUUGGCUUAAUUUAUCGAAUCUGUACGACUUUUUAUGAUAAAACCACAGUUUUUUAAAAACUUGAUCCAUGGGUUUCAGAGCAUUGGUUGUAUCAGCCUUCCUUUACUCAAGGAAAUAGCAGUACUUAAAGUCCUAAACGGAAGUGCCUUUUUUCUGUUGAGAACAGAGGAAAUAUUAAAAGAAGGAUUUAUAAUAACAAAUGGGAACAUUCACUCCAGAAAAUAACUAUACCUACGGUCUCAAAGAAAGCAUGAUAGUGCCUUUGUUUCAUUUGGAACGGAGACAGUGUAAAGGAAGGAUUUAUAAAAAUGAUAGAAGUGAUUAUUCAACAAAAGAGAAGAAAUUGCAGUUAAUUUUGAUGCUACUGAAGUAAUAUAUACUUUUGAUGUCUUCACGUUGUAACAUCAUGGAGUUAAUUUUGAACUUUUGAGGAGGAGGCAACUAGAAAUUAAUUUAGAAAGGACUGAAACAACAGGUUGUCUGCAGUGGUUUUCCUCUUGGAUUUAGCUUGCCCAUUACACUUGGAGACUUUAAAAUACUACUUCCUGCAGUUAAUUAAGAUUAUCGAACAAAUGAGUUCAGUUUGGCUGUACUGAAACGGCCAAUGUCUACAUGGGUGUUGUCUAUUCUGGACUUGGUCUUGAUUUGCUAUUUUUGUCUUCACCUCGCAACGUAUGCAGUUAAUUUUCAACCGAUAAGUGGAAGCAACUGGAAACUUAUUUGAACAACAGACUUUCUGCCGUGGUAUUCUGGAUUUGGUUUGCUUUUUACACCUGCAAACAUUGAGAGGUUGCAGUCUACAGUUAAUUAAGAUCGACGCUGGAGAAGACAAAGAUGACCCCGUAGUUGAAA